CAGUUUUCCUUGAGAUUGGAAUUCAGUUUUGAAGGAUCAUACAAUCCACUAUUUCUAAAGAUGUGAGACAAGGUUGGAAUUAUAAACCAGCUAGCGUUGG